rnacentral:rRNA from 1 species
UACGGGGGGAGCAAGCGUUGUUCGGAUUUACUGGGCGUAAAGGGCUCGUAGGUGGCCAACUAAGUCAGACGUGAAAUCCCUCAGCUUAACUGGGGAACUGCGUCUGAUACUGGAUGGCUUGAGAUUGGGAGAGGGAUGCGGAAUUCCAGGUGUAGCGGUGAAAUGCGUAGAUAUCUGGAGGAACACCGGUGGCGAAGGCGGCAUCCUGGACCAACACUGACACUGAGGAGCGAAAGCCAGGGGAGCAAACGGG